rnacentral:rRNA from 1 species
UAUAAAUGUAAAUGUUUACCAAAUUAUUAAUAGUUAUGUUCUUGAAAAUUAAAGAUUUUGGCGGUAUUUUAGUCUUUUCAGAGGAACCUGUUCUGUAAUCGAUAGUCCACGAUUAAUUGUACUUAUUUUAAUUAAUUUGUAUAUCGUCGUAGUUGAAUAUUUUAAAAGAAAAAUAAUAUUCAAGAUUUUUUAUAAUAAAAUAAAUCAGAUCAAGGUGCAGUUUAUAAAUAAGAAGAAAUGGGUUACAAUAAAUUUAUUUAAUAUGGUUUUUUUAAUUAAAAUUGAUUAAUAAAGUGGAUUUGAAAGUAAUUAAAAUUAUUUAAUUUUAAUGAUUUUAGCUCUAAAAUAUGC